AAAAAAAAAAACUUAACUGUUGUUUCUCUGGCUGCUUAUUGCAGUAAAUUACUCUUUCUUUUUGUUUCUCCUGCUUCACCUACUUUUUAUGCUGCACACAUGCACAUACUAACACACACAUAUACAUAUAACUAUAUAUAUAAAUAAGGUAUGUAGAAAUACUGAUGAACAACACUGUUUGGGUGUGCGUACAAAUCGCCUCUGCGAAUUCCAGCGAGCGAGCGACACCAGAAAAAGAAUGACAGCCACAAAAGCAAGCACAGAGGCAAACGCGCGGCGUGUUUUUAAAGAGCAAGCGAAAAGCAAAACCAAAAGCAAUAUGCAAAUGGAGAGAGCAACUUCGUAAGGCAGCGCGAGUAAAAUUACGUAGUCGACGGCGUCCGAGCGUACAUCUAAUUUAACUGAUUGAAAAAUGUAAAUGUAAAUGGAAAACUGCCGAUGACGUGCCACGCCAGCUGCACUAAAAUACUGUGGUUAUGCCCCUCGCUCUGCACUUCCCCUUGUGUGCAACAGCCCUGUUUAUCGACGACCCUGCCACGGCUGAAACCAUGCGGCUUCCAAUUGCUAUUUUAUUCUUACCUUUUCGGUCUCCGACACUACCAUUAUUUGAAUGAGAGUGUAUUUUAUAAAAGACUAUAUACGCACUAGACUUGCGUAC